GGCCCUCGAAAUCCUGUGGCGGGAGCAUUCAGUCGGAGCGCUCGCGUCGCCCGCCGGAAUAGAAACAGAAGGUUCCCCGUGACGGGGGCCGUUCCGGCGCGGCGGUUCGUGGCGACCCGUCGCAUUUGCUUCCCGCCCAAAGGACGCCGCAACCGGUUGGGGGACGGCCUUAAGGGCGAGAGCUUGGCAGGAUGGGCUGGCUGGACGUGCACGACUUGCACGUCGCCGGUCUUUGGCCUUCUCGUCGCACGGCCCGUCCGCCGACCGUGGCAAAAGAGAGGCCCUUGCAUGGGCUUCGACGUCUCCUCCCUUAACGUGUUGCGGGAUGAGAAGCGCGGCAGGAGCUCGGCGCGGAGUGCGGGCACACGGACUGACCACCGUGGCCCAGUGGCACGCUCGAGUCUUCGUUAGCUGCGCAAGCCCCGUGGGAGUGCACGACGGUUUGCGGCGAGUAGAUCGGUCACCCACCCGACCCGUCUUGAAACACGGACCAAGGAGUCUAACAUGUGCGCGAGUCAAUGGGACUCGACUAAGCCCAGAGGCGCAAUGAAAGCGAAGGCCGGAGGACCGCCGGCCGUGUCGGGAUCCCCGCUCCCUCGCGGGCGGGGCGCACCGACGACCCGCCCCGUUCCACCUAGUGGAUGAGGCGGAGUCAGAGCGCACACUUUGGGACCCGAAAGAUGGUGAACUAUGCCCGGGCAGAACGAAGCCAGAGGAAACCCUGGUGGAGGUUCGUCGCGAUUCUGACGUGCAAAUCGAUCGUCAGAUCCAGG
rnacentral:rRNA from 1 species